UGCCCACCAUUUUGGUUAAGCCCAUACGGACAGGCGGGGCGUUUGCCGC
rnacentral:sRNA from 12 species